GAGACAUAUGAGGAGGCACAGGCAUUGCCAAGUUGUGUUCUUUAUAAUUAUAAAAGAAAAAGAAUCCUUUGUAUCAGAGUCAACGAGUAGAUGAACAUCAGGUUUUAGAGCUUUGUUUCCAGACUCAGCUCACUACAACUACACUUGCUUCAUGGCUUGAUUGAUUGUUUGCUCCGCCCUAAGUUGGUUGAAGUAGAUCCUGCACCCAUUAGGAUAGCGCCUGUUCUUCAUAGUAUAAGUUCAAGUCCAGUCGAGGGAAAAGUAAUUCAAUCAACGGUUCUCACUAAUAGAUUUUAGUGUGUCAGAUCCCCCUUCUCAUCAUGUCUAUACAUGUG
rnacentral:lncRNA from 1 species